UUCGCAAUGCCCGAAAGGGUGACGAAGCGACGCCGCGUGGGUGAAGAAGGCCUUCGGGUUGUAAAGCCCUGUCAGGAGUUAUGAAAUGUAGGUGCGAUAAUACCGUGCCUAUUUGACAAAGGCUCCAAAGGAAGCCACGGCUAACUCUGUGCCAGCAGCCGCGGUAAUACAGAGGUGGCAAGCGUUGUUCGGAAUUAUUGGGCGUAAAGAGCACGUAGGUGGGUUUGUAAGUCAGAUGUGAAAGCCUUCUGUUCAACGGAAGAAUUGCAUCUGAAACUGCGUGUCUUGAGUGUAGGAGGGGAGGAUGGAACUUCUGGCGGAGCGGUGAAAUGCGUAGAUAUCAGAAGGAACGCCGGCGGCGAAAGCGAUUCUCUGGCCUAUUACUGACACUGAGUGUGCGAAAGCUAGGGGAGCAAACGGGAUUAGAUACCCCGGUAGUCCUAGCCGUAAACGAUGGGCACUAAGUAGAGGGGUUUU
rnacentral:rRNA from 1 species